UACGUAGGGCGCAAGCGUUGUCCGGAAUUAUUGGGCGUAAAGAGCUCGUAGGCGGUCUGUUACGUCCGCUGUGAAAACCCAGGGCUUAACCCUGGGCUUGCAGUGGAUACGGGUAGACUAGAGGCAGGUAGGGGAGAAUGGAAUUCCCGGUGUAGCGGUGAAAUGCGUAGAUAUCUGGAGGAACACCGGUGGCGAAGGCGGCAUCCUGGACCGAUACUGACGCUGAGGAGCGAAAGCCAGGGGAGCAAACGGG
rnacentral:rRNA from 1 species